AUGCAGUCGACGAGAAGCUUUAGCUUGCUAGAGCGAGUAAAGUGGCGCACGGGUGAGUAACGCGUGGAUAAUCUACCCUUGGAUUGGGGAUAACAUUGCGAAAGCGAUGCUAAUACCGGAUGAUAUUCUAUUUUCGUAGGUAAGUAGAAUCAAAGAUGGCCUCUUAACAAAGCUAUUGUCUGGGGAUGAGUCCGCGUACCAUUAGCUAGUUGGUAGGGUAAAGGCCUACCAAGGCAACGAUGGUUAGCUGGUCUGAGAGGAUGAUCAGCCACACUGGAACUGACACACGGUCCAGACUCCUACGGAGGCAGCAGUGAGGAAUUUUGCGCAAUGGGGGAAACCCUGACGCAGCAACGCCGCGUGAGUGAUGAAGGUUUUCGGAUCGUAAAGCUCUGUCGAGUGGGAAGAAAGUAUAUGUGAAUAAUACUCAUUAGUACUGACGGUACCACAAAAGGAAGCACCGGCUAACUCCGUG
rnacentral:rRNA from 1 species